GGACUGGAUCAACGGCUUGACGAUAAGAAAGCUGUCUCUCUUUACUAAACUCUGAAGUUAGCUGGAUAGUGAAGAGACUCUCUUAGCAAAGCGGGACGAGAAGACCCCGUUGAGCUUUAGUAAAAAUUGUUUAUUAAAAACUUGAUUACUUGAGUUGGGGCAACUAUCUUUCUUUUUUAAAACAAAGAUAAAAAUGUUUUGAGUUGAUUCUUUUAUGACCCUUAAUCUUAGGAAUAGUAGAAAAAGUUACCACGGGGAUAACAGCGUAAUUUUUUUUGAGAGUUCUUAUUGACAAAAAAGUUUGCGACCUCGAUGUUG
rnacentral:rRNA from 1 species